CGCUAGUACUGGUCCGGCCGGGCCUUUCCUUCUGGAGAGCCCCAUGCCCUUCACUGGGCGUGCGGGGGAACCAAGACUUUUACUUUGAAAAAAUUAGAGUGUUCAAAGCAGGCCUUUGCUCGAAUACGUUAGCAUGGAAUAAUAGAAUAGGACGUGCGAUCCUAUUUUGUUGGUUUCUAGGACCCCCAUAAUGAUUUAUAGGCACAGUCGGGGGCAUCAGUAUUCUUUUGUCAGAGGUGAAAUUCUUGGAUUUAUUGAAGACUAACUACUGCGAAAGCAUUUGCCAAGGAUGUUUUCAUUAAUCAGUGAACGAAAGUUAGGGGAUCGAAGACGAUCAGAGACCGUGGUAGUCUUAACCGUAAACUAUGCCGACUAGGGAUCGGGCGAUGUUUUUAUCUUGACUCGCUCGGCACCCUACGAGAAAUCAAAGUUUUUGGGUUUUGGGGGGAGUAUGGCCGCAAGGCUGAAACUUAAAGAAAUUGACGGAAGGGCACCCCCAGGCGUGGAGCGCGCGGCUUAAUUUGACUCAACACGGGGAAACUCACCAGGUCCAGAUGAAAUAAGGAUUGACAGAUUGAGAGCUCUUUCAUGAUCUUUCAGGUGGUGGUGCAUGGCCGUUCUUAGUUGGUGGAGUGAUUUGUCUGCUUAAUUGCGAUAACGAACGAGACCUCAACCUCCUAAAUAGCCAGCCUAGCUUUGGCUGGUCGCCGCUUGUUAGAGGGACUAUCGG
rnacentral:rRNA from 1 species